rnacentral:tRNA from 1 species
GCUGGUGUAGCUCAGUUGGUAGAGCAGCUGAUUUGUAAUCAGCAGGUCAGGGGUUCACGUCCGUUCACCAGCUCCA